rnacentral:rRNA from 1 species
UAGAGCGGACAGAAGGGAGCUUGCACCCGGAUGUUAGCGGCGGACGGGUGAGUAACACGUGGGUAACCUGCCUGUAAGACUGGGAUAACUCCGGGAAACCGGAGCUAAUACCGGAUAGUUCCUUGAACCGCAUGGUUCAAGGAUGAAAGACGGUUUCGGCUGUCACUUACAGAUGGACCCGCGGCGCAUUAGCUAGUUGGUGGGGUAAUGGCUCACCAAGGCGACGAUGCGUAGCCGACCUGAGAGGGUGAUCGGCCACACUGGGACUGAGACACGGCCCAGACUCCUACGGGAGGCAGCAGUAGGGAAUCUUCCGCAAUGGACGAAAGUCUGACGGAGCAACGCCGCGUGAGUGAUGAAGGUUUUCGGAUCGUAAAGCUCUGUUGUUAGGGAAGAACAAGUGCGAGAGUAACUGCUCGCACCUUGACGGUACCUAACCAGAAAGCCACGGCUAACUACGUGCCAGCAGCCGCGGUAAUACGUAGGUGGCAAGCGUUGUCCGGAAUUAUUGGGCGUAAAGGGCUCGCAGGCGGUUUCUUAAGUCUGAUGUGAAAGCCCCCGGCUCAACCGGGGAGGGUCAUUGGAAACUGG